rnacentral:rRNA from 1 species
UAGGGAAUCUUCCACAAUGGGCGAAAGCCUGAUGGAGCAACGCCGCGUGUGUGAUGAAGGGUUUCGGCUCGUAAAGCUCUGUUGUUAAAGAAGAACGUGGGUAAGAGUAACUGUUUACCCAGUGACGGUAUUUAACCAGAAAGCCACGGCUAACUACGUGCCAC